CUCCUACGGGAGGCAGCAGUGGGGAAUCUUGCACAAUGGAGGAAACUCUGAUGCAGCGAUGCCGCGUGAGUGAAGAAGGCCCUUGGGUUGUAAAGCUCUUUCGUCGGGGAAGAAAAUGACUGUACCCGAAUAAGAAGGUCCGGCUAACUUCGUGCCAGCAGCCGCGGUAAUACGAAGGGACCUAGCGUAGUUCGGAAUUACUGGGCUUAAAGAGUUCGUAGGUGGUUGAAAAAGUUAGUGGUGAAAUCCCAGAGCUUAACUCUGGAACUGCCAUUAAAACUUUUCAGCUAGAGUAUGAUAGAGGAAAGCAGAAUUUCUAGUGUAGAGGUGAAAUUCGUAGAUAUUAGAAAGAAUACCAAUUGCGAAGGCAGCUUUCUGGAUCAUUACUGACACUGAGGAACGAAAGCAUGGGUAGCGAAGAGGAUUAGAUACCCUCGUAGUCCAUGCCGUAAACGAUGUGUGUUAGACGUUGGAAAUUUAUUUUCAGUGUCGCAGGGAAACCGAUAAACACACCGCCUGGGGAGUACGACCGCAAGGUUAAAACUCAAAUGAAUUGACGGGGACCCGCACAAGUAGUGGAGCAUGUGGUUUAAUUCGAAGAUACGCGCAGAACCUUACCAACACUUGACAUGUUCGUCGCGACUCUAAGAGAUUAGAGUUUUCGGUUCGGCCGGACGAAACACAGGUGCUGCAUGGCUGUCGUCAGCUCGUGUCGUGAGAUGUUGGGUUAAGUCCCGCAACGAGCGCAACCCUCACUUUUAGUUGCCAUCAUUAAGUUGGGCACUCUGAAAGAACUGCCAGUGAUAAGCUGGAGGAAGGUGGGGAUGACGUCAAGUCCUCAUGGCCCUUACGUGUUGGGCUACACACGUGCUACAAUGGUAUCUACAACAGGAAGCAAAACUGCGAAGUUAAGCAAAUCCCUAAAAGAUACCUCAGUUCGGAUUGCACUCUGCAACUCGAGUGCAUGAAGCUGGAAUUACUAGUAAUCGUGGAUCAGCGUGCCACGGUGAAUGCGUUCCCGGGUCUUGUACACACCGCCCGUCACACCAUGGGAGUUGGUUCUACCUUAAGGCAAGGUUUCAAACCCUUGACCACGGUAUAGUCAGCGACUGGGGUGAAGUCGUAACAAGGUAGCCGUAGGGGAACCUGCGGCUG
rnacentral:rRNA from 1 species